UUUCCCAAUGAUGCUGGUUUCUUACCAUGCUAAUUCUGAUAACAUGAUUAAUAUUUUUUUAUCAUACUGAGGGAACC